GUCUUGAAUUGCAGGGAGAGUUGGGACAAUGCAUAAAAGCUGAAAGACCCAACAAGAUCAGAUAAUGCAAAGACAGUGUUGCAGUGCAGGGGCAAUGAGUGAGCCAAAACCUCAGGAGAGAAAGGGGAGCAGAGAGGAAGAGGUGGUGCUGCCGAGGGGCCGUGAACUAGCUCAGUUCCUGGAGCACUGGGUCCUGGAUGAGUCCUCAGGGGCUAAACCACAUCCUGUGAGGCGUGGUCGAGACUCCAGCCUUCCAAUCCCCGCAAGUUGCUUUACAACAACUCCCAUGGCUCAGGUUAACCUGAGAGUUUCCGCUCUUUCAACCAAACUGAGGCUAGCUCAGCCUUCACCUUUAACCUCCGGGUACAUGCUAAGAAUCGGAAGAGGCGAAUGGAGAGGACGAGUAUGGACAUCCCUCCAUGAACCCCCAGGCCUGACGCUGGCCCAAGGAGGCCCCGAGAAAGAGCCCGGCCCAGUUCCUGCUACACCAGAACCCCAGCCUCACAAAUUAGAUGCCCUGGAAACGCUGUGCCUGUCACCAAGAUGCACCUCCAUCUGGGGUGGAAGGCAACAUCUGCUAAACAGCUAUCUCUAUAGGAUGCAGCCCCUUCCUGUCCUUCUUACCUCAUCUCAUUUUCCUACACUCCAGCUGCUUAGGGAACCAGCCAAGCUCGCUCUCUCACCUCAGGACCUUUGAAUCUUCUGUUCCCCCUGCCUGGGACUCGCUUCCCCUGGCUGUCUGUGAAGCUGUCAUCUUCUUCAUCUUCAGGUCCAGCUCCAAUGCCACCUCCUCAGAGAGGCCUUUCUUUAUCCUUCCAGUUCAAAUAUCCACCAUCUUGAUGUCCGAAGGCAAAGAGAGUCUGAUCCAGCCAGCUAGGGCUUUGGCUGCUGAAAUCCAGCCGGCUCCCCAGAGCAUCAGCCUCACCUGGUAAAGACUUCCCCCAAGGGCUAGCCACAAGCCGCCCCUUCCCCGGAGGGGGGCUCACUCCUCCUUCCCGUCAACUGAAGAUCCUUCGUGAAUGGGCUUGUCUGGAACUGCUGCAAUUAAACCAUCAGAGCAACACUGGACCAUUUGUUUACUAUGGCGCUUAGAGCUGGAAUGGCUUGUUGUUUUGACAGUUUCUAUUUUCAGCUCCAUUUCCUAGGGGUAGCAGGGAGAGGGUAGGCAAUGAAUCCUGGUCUAUUCAAGUAAAAAGAUGCUUCAGUGAAUCCUAGAAUUUCAGAGUUACUGAAUUCUGGAAUCAUUGUCUUGGAAUGUGAGAGCAGUAAAAAUAUGCAAUUUUAGUUAUGGGUUCCUAGAUUCAUGGGAGCCUAGAAUCUUACACAACAGAAAAUAGAAUCUUAGUGUCAAACGAGUUUAGGCUCAAAGUUUUAGACUGAUAGAACCUUAAGAGAUUCUCUCACUUGGUUGAGUUCUCUGCUCCAAUACCACCUUCUCGAGAAACCGUCUCUGAUGACCUUAUCUACCAUGUCCCCCACCCCCACCCCCACAUGCUGUCAUUUUCUACUGUUUUAUUCUGGUUCAUUUUUCUUCGGAGCCCUGAUCACCACCUGACAUCUGAUAUAUUUCUCUGCUUAUUUGCUUGUUAUGUGUCUCCCCCACACAGUGGGUUGAGGUCAGCAACUCCGUUUUGUUCACUGCUUA
ensembl:lncRNA